rnacentral:rRNA from 1 species
CGCGAAGAACCUUACCAGGUCUUGACAUCCUUUGACCACUCUAGAGAUAGAGCUUCCCCUUCGGGGGCAAAGUGACAGGUGGUGCAUGGUUGUCGUCAGCUCGUGUCGUGAGAUGUUGGGUUAAGUCCCGCAACGAGCGCAACCCUUAUUGUUAGUUGCCAUCAUUCAGUUGGGCACUCUAGCAAGACUGCCGGUGACAAACCGGAGGAAGGUGGGGAUGACGUCAAAUCAUCAUGCCCCUUAUGACCUGGGCUACACACGUGCUACAAUGGGAAGUACAACGAGUCGCGAAGUCGCGAGGCUAAGCUAAUCUCUUAAAGCUUCUCUCAGUUCGGAUUGCAGGCUGCAACUCGCCUGCAUGAAGCCGGAAUCGCUAGUAAUCGCGGAUCAGCACGCCGCGGUGAAUACGUUCCCGGGUCUUGUACACACC